AUACGGAGGAUGCGAGCGUUAUCCGGAUUUAUUGGGUUUAAAGGGUGCGUAGGCUGUGCGUUAAGUCAGGGGUGAAAUGCCGUCGCUCAACGACGGAGCUGCCCUUGAUACUGGCGUGCUGGAGUACGGAUGCCGUUGGAGGAAUGAGUGGUGUAGGGGUGAAAUGCUUCGAUAUCACUCAGAACACCGAUUGCGAAGGCAUCUGACGAAUCCGUCACUGACGCUGAGGCACGAAAGCGUGGGGAUAGAACAGGAUUAGAUACCCUGGUAUUCCACGCCGUAAACGAUGAUGACUAACCGUCGGCGAUAGACAGCCGGUGGCCAAGCGAAAGCGAUAAGUCAUCCACCUGGGGAGUACGUCGGCAACGAUGAAACUCAAAUGAAUUGACGGG
rnacentral:rRNA from 1 species